rnacentral:rRNA from 1 species
CUACGGGGGGCAGCAGUGGGGAAUAUUGGACAAUGGGGGAAACCCUGAUCCAGCAAUGCCGCGUGUGUGAAGAAGGCCUGCGGGUUGUAAAGCACUUUCGGUUGGGAGGACUGCUUCUAGCACUAAUAUUGUUGGAAGUUGACGUUACCUUCAGAAGAAGCACCGGCUAACUCCGUGCCAGCAGCCGCGGUAAUAGGCGGAGGGUGCAAGCGUUAAUCGGAAUUACUGGGCGUAAAGCGCGCGUAGGCGGCUAGAUCAGUCGGGUGUGAAAGCCCCGGGCUUAACCUGGGAACUGCAUCCGAUACUGUCUAGCUUGAGUACAGGAGAGGAGAGUGGAAUUCCACAUGUAGCGGUGAAAUGCGUAGAUAUGUGGAGGAACACCAAUGGCGAAGGCAGCUCUCUGGCCUGAUACUGACGCUGAGGUGCGAAAGCGUGGGGAGCAAACAGGAUUAGAUACCCCAGUAGUC